rnacentral:misc_RNA from 1 species
AGAGAGCAUGCUGAGAAAUUGAUGAAAUACCAGAACAAAAGGGGCGGAAAAGUGAAGCUGCAGUCUAUAGUAAUGCCCCUUUCGGAAUUUGAUCAUGUGGAAAAAGGAGAUGCAUUGUAUGGUGAGUUUUGAUUUAACUUUUUUGUAUCUAAAUAUGAAAAGCGCUACACCAAGUUGAUGGAAUUUUGAUUUAUAAAGGCCUUGUUUUCUAUGUAAGAUGCAUUCUGCAGUCUAUGUUUUUUAAUGGAUUGUUGAAAGUUACAAAGACUAUUAUUUGUCUCUUUUCCUCUAGCAUUGCUGUGCAAUUGAAAAACCAGUGAAUGAGUUGAGAUCCUUGCUGUAUUAAAUUGUUGUCUUGUGAAGUGUUGUUAUCUUUUUAGUUGGCACUAACUUGAUAAACUUUCUUUGUUCAGCAAUGGAGCUUACUUUGUCUCUGGAAAAAUUAACAA